rnacentral:rRNA from 1 species
AAUUGCUAGUAAUGGCAGGUCAGCAUACUGCCGUGAAUACGUUCCCGGGCCUUGUACGCACCGCCCGUCACACCAUGAGAGUUGGGAAUACCCGAAGCCUGUGAGCCAACUUUUAAAGAGGCAACAGUCGAAGGUAGAAUCAAUGAUUGGGGUGAAGUCGUAACAAGGUAAC